rnacentral:rRNA from 1 species
GACGAACGCUGGCGGCGUGCUUAACACAUGCAAGUCGUACGGUAAGGCCCUUUCGGGGGUACACGAGUGGCGAACGGGUGAGUAACACGUGCGUAACCUGCCCACAACUUUGGGAUAACGCUAGGAAACUGGUGCUAAUACUGGAUAUGUGCUCCUGCUGCAUGGUGGGGGUUGGAAAGCUCCGGCGGUUGUGGAUGGACUCGCGGCCUAUCAGCUUGUUGGUGGGGUAGUGGCCUACCAAGGCGGCGACGGGUAGCCGGCCUGAGAGGGCGACCGGCCACAUUGGGACUGAGAUACGGCCCAGACUCCUACGGGAGGCAGCAGUGGGGAAUAUUGCACAAUGGGCGCAAGCCUGAUGCAGCAACGCCGCGUGCGGGAUGACGGCCUUCGGGUUGUAAACCGCUUUCAGCAGGGACGAAGCUUUUUGUGACGGUACCUGCAGAAGAAGCACCGGCUAACUACGUG